GGCAUUUAGUGCAUGUCUGAUUCUAACGGUAAUUAUUCUUAAUAUAAAAGAGAAAAGGGACACGUGAAAGGUAAAGAUAACAUGGAGAUAGGAAAAAUAUGUGGUUUCGAGACAGUGUAUUUGUCUAUCCGCCUUAAAGUGCAGAUUUAAUCCCGAUAUCUCGCAUGUAAUUUUCUAUUUGUGAGAGAUAAGUAAAUACGUAGCCAACACACGGAAGACUUCACUUGUUCUUAGGUAAAGUUUUAAUAAAACUCUCCCAACAGCUGCUCCUGAAAGAUAAACAUUUUUGUCGGAUGCUUAAUCCCAAAUAAAGGCUUACGGAGUAAUUGUAAUUCCUUCUGAUUCAUUGAUUUCAUAAUAGUGUGAAUUUCCAUUUUCGGUUCAGGAAAGUUGUUACGUGAAUGAAAAGUGGAUCUUUGAAGAAUCGUCGUCCUCUAAGGAAAGGAAGACGAAAUCCGCAAAAUACAUUCGGAGGUGAAAUCCAUUUACCUAAACUUGGAACGAAUGCGAUUAACGGAAAGUAGGAAGGACAGAGCGGCAUGUACAAUCGCGCCAUUGUACAUUAUCACUUUGUCGCCACUGUAUCUCGAAAACAAUGUCGUGGAUUUCCAUUUUUUAUUAAAGUUUUAGAUUCCUCAUCGCAAUUAAUGGAAAACGGCAGUUUAAUCAAAAUCGAUUCACCAAGUUUUAAGAACGAUAUUGAUCCUAUAAGCCACAUAAAGAGAUUUCGCUAACGCUCUUCCUCAAAUAUAUUGCAAAGGUUCAUUGCAUUGACAAAUUAAUCAAUUACUUGAGAAUUAAUGGAAACAGUAAUCCUAAUAAGAGCAAGGACGCUAUAUGGGCAAUGGGUCGAUUUCCGGAUCCAGCUGCAACACAAUUACAUUAAGAAAUAAAUGUCAGAAAGAAAAUUUAGCAAAAUAUAUAUUGAUUUGAAAU